AAAGAAAUAAUUUAAAAAGCUUCUAACUUUUACAUAGAGCACUUACUUGUUCGUAUUUCUU
rnacentral:tRNA from 1 species